AACGAACGCUGGCGGCAUGCCUAACACAUGCAAGUCGAACGAGACCUUCGGGUCUAGUUGCGCACGGGUGCGUAACGCGUGGGAACCUGCCCUUAGGGUCGGAAUAACUCCCCGAAAGGGGUGCUAAUACCGGAUAAUGUCUUCGGACCAAAGAUUUAUCUCCUUUGGAUGGGCCCGCGUUGGAUUAGCUAGUUGGUAGGGUAAAAGCCUACCAAGGCGACGAUCCAUAGCUGGUCUGGGAGGAGGAUCCGCCACACUGGGACUGAGACACGGCCCAGACUCCUACGGGAGGCAGCAGUGGGGAAUAUUGGACGAUGGGCGAAAGCCUGAUCCAGCAAUGCCGCGUGAGUGAUGAAGGCCUUAGGGUUGUAAAGCUCUUUUACCCGGGAUGAUAAUGACAGUACCGGGAGAAUAAGCUCCGGCUAACUCCGUG
rnacentral:rRNA from 1 species